GAUGAACGCUGGCGGCGUGCCUAAUACAUGCAAGUCGAGCGAACGGACGAGAAGCUUGCUUCUCUGAUGUUAGCGGCGGACGGGUGAGUAACACGUGGAUAACCUACCUAUAAGACUGGGAUAACUUCGGGAAACCGGAGCUAAUACCGGAUAAUAUUUUGAACCGCAUGGUUCAAAAGUGAAAGACGGUCUUGCUGUCACUUAUAGAUGGAUCCGCGCUGCAUUAGCUAGUUGGUAAGGUAACGGCUUACCAAGGCAACGAUGCAUAGCCGACCUGAGAGGGUGAUCGGCCACACUGGAACUGAGACACGGUCCAGACUCCUACGGGAGGCAGCAGUAGGGAAUCUUCCGCAAUGGGCGAAAGCCUGACGGAGCAACGCCGCGUGAGUGAUGAAGGUCUUCGGAUCGUAAAACUCUGUUAUUAGGGAAGAACAUAUGUGUAAGUAACUGUGCACAUCUUGACGGUACCUAAUCAGAAAGCCACGGCUAACUACGUGCCAGCAGCCGCGGUAAUACGUAGGUGGCAAGCGUUAUCCGGAAUUAUUGGGCGUAAAGCGCGCGUAGGCGGUUUUUUAAGUCUGAUGUGAAAGCCCACGGCUCAACCGUGGAGGGUCAUUGGAAACUGGAAAACUUGAGUGCAGAAGAGGAAAGUGGAAUUCCAUGUGUAGCGGUGAAAUGCGCAGAGAUAUGGAGGAACACCAGUGGCGAAGGCGACUUUCUGGUCUGUAACUGACGCUGAUGUGCGAAAGCGUGGGGAUCAAACAGGAUUAGAUACCCUGGUAGUCCACGCCGUAAACGAUGAGUGCUAAGUGUUAGGGGGUUUCCGCCCCUUAGUGCUGCAGCUAACGCAUUAAGCACUCCGCCUGGGGAGUACGACCGCAAGGUUGAAACUCAAAGGAAUUGACGGGGACCCGCACAAGCGGUGGAGCAUGUGGUUUAAUUCGAAGCAACGCGAAGAACCUUACCAAAUCUUGACAUCCUUUGACAACUCUAGAGAUAGAGCUUUCCCCUUCGGGGGACAAAGUGACAGGUGGUGCAUGGUUGUCGUCAGCUCGUGUCGUGGGAUGUUGGGUUAAGUCCCGCAACGAGCGCAACCCUUAAGCUUAGUUGCCAUCAUUAAGUUGGGCACUCUAAGUUGACUGCCGGUGACAAACCGGAGGGAGGUGGGGAUGACGUCAAAUCAUCAUGCCCCUUAUGAUUUGGGCUACACACGUGCUACAAUGGACAAUACAAAGGGCAGCGAAACCGCGAGGUCAAGCAAAUCCCAUAAAGUUGUUCUCAGUUCGGAUUGUAGUCUGCAACUCGACUACAUGAAGCUGGAAUCGCUAGUAAUCGUAGAUCAGCAUGCUACGGUGAAUACGUUCCCGGGUCU
rnacentral:rRNA from 1 species